UUUUUGUAGGAUGUCUACAUCUACACCUGUUUAUCGUGGACGUGGAAAAAACAAACAAUUUUGGACUGAUGAUGAGGUUGAUGCUUUGAUUGAUGCCCUCCAAGAGUUAGCUUGUGAUCCUUUAUGGAAAGUAGACUCUGGAUUUAAGAACAAUUACAUGGAAGCAAGUACAAUCCCAUUGCGGAGAUGUGUAUGCAAAGUGGUUGUCAGUGGGAUGAGGUUGAGCAUAAGAUCAAAUGUGAAAAACAGUGGUUUGAUGAAUGGUGUCUGGUAAGACGUUAUAAACUCUCUUCGAUUAUUUAUUGAGCGUUUACUUUGGUAGUUCUUUCUAUUUAUUUUUACAUAUUCUGAAUGUUAUGUUAUUUUAUUUUGUAUAGACUCACCCAAAUGCCAUUGGGUUGCGGGAUUUUACAUUCCCAUAUUUGCGUAAACUAGACAUGGUGUGGGGUAAAGAUAGGGCAACAGGGCUCGGAGCUGAAGAUAUAUUUGACGCAAGCAUGGAUCCUAGUUAGCAAAAGAAUGUGAUUGUGAAUUCUUCAUCGGAUGGUGAAGAUGAACCCGUUGUCGUCUCUCACUCACAAGGCUCACGUACAAUUUCAUCAAACAACAAAUCAUCCAAGAAAAGAAACAAACUUUCACCGAGAAGG